rnacentral:rRNA from 1 species
AUGGCGGACAUGGGCAGCCUCGAGAGGAUGGGACGGGAGCUCAAGUGCCCCAUCUGCCUGAGUCUGCUCAGAUCGGCGGUGUCCGUCACCUGCAACCACAUCUUCUGCAACCAUUGCCUCACGGAGUCGAUGAAGUCCUCCUCCACCUGCCCUGUGUGUAAGGUGCCGUUCCGCCGAAGAGAAAUCCGGCCGGCACCGCACAUGGACAAUUUGGUCGGCAUCUUGAAAAGCAUGGAGGCUGCAUCAGGAAGUAAUGUUGUCUCAACACAGGUGACUUCUACGGCACAAGUUGCAGAUGGAUCAAAGCAUGACAACAGUGGGAAAAAGUCUGAAAGGUUGCCAAAAUCAACAGUGCAAAAGAAGAAGAUACCAUCCGAGAAGAAAGCAAAGAAAACAAAACCUACUCUGGCUUCUGCAUCUGGUCCUACUAAAAAGCCUUCUUUCUCUGCGAACAAGAGAAUACAUGUGACACCAUUCCCUGAAUCUGAGACGCCAAUGAGACCUCAGAAGAUUAUGAAAUCUGAAGAGAUGAAAGAUAAAUUGAAUGGUGAUGUUCAAGAAGGCAAAGAUAAAGCAUCGGCCUCUGAUAAACUGGGAGGUUUCUCAUUGUCACCCUUUUUUUGGUUAAGGGAAGGAGAGGAUGCAGAAGGCGGCACUCUUGAAACGUUAAGUGAACCACCAUCACUGGCCACGCCCUUGCGUCACAAUGCACCAACCUUUAGUGACAUCAAAGGUUCUGAUGCUGGAACCCCUCCUAACACGACUCCAAAUCUAUUUGAGUUGCAGAGCAAAGCUGUGGUUCCAGAUGCCUUUGAUAGUGAAAUCUUUGAAUGGUCCCAGAGGCCUUGCUCUCCUGAGCUGCGUUCUACUCCACAGAAAAAGCAGGGUAAAUUUCAGGAUAUAUUAGAUCACAUAGCAGAGAAAGAUGACGAGGAAGAUAUACAGCUUGGUGGUUCAUUCGAUGAGUCAGGUCAUACAAAUAAUGCAGCUCAGCCUGUCAAUGCUAAUAAAGAAAUGAAGCAGAAGGGGAAGAAGGCAAGAGGUGGGAACAGCAGGAAGAUAAAGUUGCUGGAGGUCAUCACAAAAGAAGCUGAUGCCAACCAACAAGAUUCAAAUAUCACUAAAAGUCUUGCUGCAAAGUCAUGCGAGAAAAACAGCAGUACUAUAGAGAAGAAUACUUCAAGUAGAAGAAACAAGGCUGGUAACGGCAUCAAUCUAUUUCCCUGUUCCGAUGAUAACUCCAUGGGGACAUUUCACCCUCGAGAAAAUAGUUUGGAGAUUGAAGUACAUGACGGACACCUCCCAGAAAGAUCUCAGAAAAAGGAGAAAAGUGGUCAACAGAAGAAAUGUGCAAGGAAGCUGGGAACAACAGGGAAGAGUAGUGUUGAGACUACAGAGAGUAACUCUGACCCAAGAAGUAAGCGAGUUAGAAAAAUGCCUGACGGUGUCAAUGCUGAAAAGAUAGGAGUUAUUGAUGUCUCUAGAAAUGAAACAGAAAUGCCGCUACUCCACAGCUUCAUGAAAAGUUGCACCCAACACGAACUUUUGGAUGGUAGAAGUAAAAAGAGCAGUAAAAAGAGCAAGUUCAGUGAAGAAAUGAAUAGUCAGAUAGGGCCUGAUAGCAUGAAAUCAAACAUCAGUGCAAAUACAUCAAGCAUUUUACUUGGUAGAUGCCAAAGUAGUGAGGCAAUACGUGCAGCUUGUUCACCAAUGGAUGCAUCAGUUAAGAACAAAUGUGCAAAAGGUACCAAACAAACAGAUUGUUCAGGAAUGAAAAACUUUGGAAAGCUCCAAGCUUGCACUGGUAAUACUUUCCUGAAGAAAUGUGAUGAUACUGUCUCUAAGGUUUUCUGUGCUUUCUGCCAGUCUGCUGAUAUCACAGAGGAGUCUGGAGAGAUGGUUCACUACCAUAACGGAAAACAAGUCCCUGCAGAGUUUGGUGGAGGGGCUAAUGUCGUACAUUCUCACAAGAACUGCAUGGAGUGGGCUCCAGAUGUCUACUUUGAAAAUGACUCAGUAUUUAAUCUUGCGCCUGAGUUAACUAGAAGCAAAAGGAUCAAAUGUGCUUGCUGCGGAGUCAAAGGUGCGGCGCUUGGUUGCUUUGACAAGAGUUGUCGGAGAAGCUUCCACUUCACAUGUGCUAAAUUGAUCCCAGAAUGCAGAUGGGAUAAUGAAAACUUUGUGAUGCUAUGCCCUUUGCAUCAGUCUUCCAAGUUGCCAAAUGAAGUUUCUGAGCCACAAAAGCAAUCCAAAAGGAUAACAGCACCAAAAUGUCCAUCUCAAGUAAGAUCUAGCCAAGCUUGCAGUAAUAACUGGAAAUGGCCAUCAGGAUCACCACAGAAGUGGGUUCUCUGCUGUUCAGCUCUUUCUGCUGCUGAGAAGGGUGCCGUAACAGAAUUUGCAAAAUUAGCUGGUGUGCCUAUUUCCAAGAGCUGGAGCCCCAGCGUUACCCAUGUCAUUGCAUCAACUGACCCCUCUGGCGCUUGCAAGCGCACACUGAAGUUUCUAAUGGCAAUCUUGAACGGCAAAUGGAUUGUCUCCAUCAACUGGGUUAAGGCUUGCAUGGAUGGCAUGGAACCUGCUGACGAGCAGAAAUUCGAAGUCACCACGGAUGUUCAUGGGGUCCGUGAGGGUCCCAAGUUAGGAAGACAGAGAGUGAUCAACAAGCAACCCAGGCUGUUGAACGGCAUGCAGUUCUACCUCCAUGGAGACUACACCAUGACCUACAGAGGCUUCCUGCAGGACCUGGUGGUCGCGGCAGGUGGCACCGUUCUGCACCGGAAGCCCGUCUCAAGGGACCACCAGAAGCUGCUUGAUGACAGUUCCCCCGUCAUAGUCGUGUACAGCCUCGAGAACCAGGGGAAGGCGAACCUUGACGGCAAUGACUAUUAUCGGCGCAGGCAGGCUGAUGAUGCCCAGGCUCUGGCCUUUGCCUCUGGUGGUGUAGCCGCUAGCAGUGCCUGGAUAAUUGACUCCGUUGCGGCUUGCAAGCUGCAACCUCUGUGA